CAGAGGGUGCGAGCGUUAAUCGGAAUUACUGGGCGUAAAGGGUGCGUAGGUGGUUUUGUAAGUUAGAUGUGAAAUUCCUGGGCUUAACCUGGGGGACUGCGUCUGAUACUGCGAAAGCUAGAGUACUGUAGAGGGAAGUGGAAUUUCCGGUGUAGCAGUGAAAUGCGUAGAUAUCGGAAGGAACAUCAGUGGCGAAGGCGACUUCCUGGACAGAUACUGACACUGAGGCACGAAAGCGUGGGGGGAGCAAACAGGAUU
rnacentral:rRNA from 1 species